CAAAUGCUGCUUGAUAUUCUUGAGGACACACAUGAAAUACGACGUAUUUGUAUUAUGUGAAGAAAUUGUACCCUUCAGAAAAAUGAUGAGAAGGAAUGCUUUGUUCCUUGGAAAAGCAUAUGGCUGAGGAGGAGGAAGAAGAAAUUGAAAUGCUUUUAUAAAAAUAUCUCCAAAGGUGUGAAUCUUGUCAUGGUCAGGCAGAGAGGCUUCUUGAUUCAGCGAAAGAAAUGGAAGAUUCCAUUGCAGUCAACCUUAG